rnacentral:rRNA from 1 species
UUAAGCGACUAAGCGUACACGGUGGAUGCCCUGGCAGUCAGAGGCGAUGAAGGACGUGCUAAUCUGCGAAAAGCGUCGGUAAGGUGAUAUGAACCGUUAUAACCGGCGAUGUCCGAAUGGGGAAACCCAGUGNCACUAUCGUUAACUGAAUACAUAGGUUAACGAGGCGAACCGGGGGAACUGAAACAUCUAAGUACCCCGAGGAAAAGAAAUCAACCGAGAUUCCCCCAGUAGCGGCGAGCGAACGGGGAGCAGCCCAGAGUCUGAAUCAGCUUGUGUGUUAGUGGAACGGUCUGGAAAGUCCGACGGUACAGGGUGAUAGUCCCGUACACCAAAAUGCACAGGCUGUGAACUCGAAGAGUAGGGCGGGACACGUGGUAUCCUGUCUGAAUAUGGGGGGACCAUCCUCCAAGGCUAAAUACUCCUGACUGACCGAUAGUGAACCAGUACCGUGAGGGAAAGGCGAAAAGAACCCCGGCGAGGGGAGUGAAAAAGAACCUGAAACCGUGUACGUACAAGCAGUGGGAGCACCUUCGGGUGUGACUGCGUACCUUUUGUAUAAUGGGUCAGCGACUUAUAUUCUGUAGCAAGGUUAACCGUAUAGGGGAGCCGCAGGGAAACCGAGUCUUAACUGGGCGUUAAGUUGCAGGGUAUAGACCCGAAACCCGGUGAUCUAGCCAUGGGCAGGUUGAAGGUUGGGUAACACUAACUGGAGGACCGAACCGACUAAUGUUGAAAAAUUAGCGGAUGACUUGUGGCUGGGGGUGAAAGGCCAAUCAAACCGGGAGAUAGCUGGUUCUCCCCGAAAGCUAUUUAGGUAGCGCCUCGUGAAUUCAUCUUCGGGGGUAGAGCACUGUUUCGGCUAGGGGGUCAUCCCGACUUACCAACCCGAUGCAAACUACGAAUACCGAAGAAUGUUAUCACGGGAGACACACGGCGGGUGCUAACGUCCGUCGUGAAGAGGGAAACAACCCAGACCGCCAGCUAAGGUCCCAAAGUCAUGGUUAAGUGGGAAACGAUGUGGGAAGGCACAGACAGCCAGGAUGUUGGCUUAGAAGCAGCCAUCAUUUAAAGAAAGCGUAAUAGCUCACUGGUCGAGUCGGCCUGCGCGGAAGAUGUAACGGGGCUAAACCAUGCACCGAAGCUGCGGCAGCGACACUAUGUGUUGUUGGGUAGGGGAGCGUUCUGUAAGCCUGCGAAGGUGUGCUGUGAGGCAUGCUGGAGGUAUCAGAAGUGCGAAUGCUGACAUAAGUAACGAUAAAGCGGGUGAAAAGCCCGCUCGCCGGAAGACCAAGGGUUCCUGUCCAACGUUAAUCGGGGCAGGGUGAGUCGACCCCUAAGGCGAGGCCGAAAGGCGUAGUCGAUGGGAAACAGGUUAAUAUUCCUGUACUUGGUGUUACUGCGAAGGGGGGACGGAGAAGGCUAUGUUAGCCGGGCGACGGUUGUCCCGGUUUAAGCAUGUAGGCUGGUUGUCCAGGCAAAUCCGGAUAAUCAAGGCUGAGGUGUGAUGACGAGGCACUACGGUGCUGAAGUAACAAAUGCCCUGCUUCCAGGAAAAGCCUCUAAGCAUCAGGUAACAUCAAAUCGUACCCCAAACCGACACAGGUGGUCAGGUAGAGAAUACCAAGGCGCUUGAGAGAACUCGGGUGAAGGAACUAGGCAAAAUGGUGCCGUAACUUCGGGAGAAGGCACGCUGGUGUGUAGGUGAAGCCCCUGCGGGUGGAGCUGAGACCAGUCGAAGAUACCAGCUGGCUGCAACUGUUUAUUAAAAACACAGCACUGUGCAAACACGAAAGUGGACGUAUACGGUGUGACGCCUGCCCGGUGCCGGAAGGUUAAUUGAUGGGGUUAUCCGUAAGGAGAAGCUCUUGAUCGAAGCCCCGGUAAACGGCGGCCGUAACUAUAACGGUCCUAAGGUAGCGAAAUUCCUUGUCGGGUAAGUUCCGACCUGCACGAAUGGCGUAAUGAUGGCCAGGCUGUCUCCACCCGAGACUCAGUGAAAUUGAACUCGCUGUGAAGAUGCAGUGUACCCGCGGCAAGACGGAAAGACCCCGUGAACCUUUACUAUAGCUUGACACUGAACAUUGAGCCUUGAUGUGUAGGAUAGGUGGGAGGCUUUGAAGCGUGGACGCCAGUCUGCGUGGAGCCAACCUUGAAAUACCACCCUUUAAUGUUUGAUGUUCUAACGUUGGCCCCUUACCGGGGUUGCGGACAGUGUCUGGUGGGUAGUUUGACUGGGGCGGUCUCCUCCCAAAGCGUAACGGAGGAGCACGAAGGUUAGCUAAUCCUGGUCGGACAUCAGGAGGUUAGUGCAAUGGCAUAAGCUAGCUUGACUGCGAGCGUGACGGCGCGAGCAGGUGCGAAAGCAGGUCAUAGUGAUCCGGUGGUUCUGAAUGGAAGGGCCAUCGCUCAACGGAUAAAAGGUACUCCGGGGAUAACAGGCUGAUACCGCCCAAGAGUUCAUAUCGACGGCGGUGUUUGGCACCUCGAUGUCGGCUCAUCACAUCCUGGGGCUGAAGUAGGUCCCAAGGGUAUGGCUGUUCGCCAUUUAAAGUGGUACGCGAGCUGGGUUUAGAACGUCGUGAGACAGUUCGGUCCCUAUCUGCCGUGGGCGCUGGAGAAUUGAGGGGGGCUGCUCCUAGUACGAGAGGACCGGAGUGGACGCAUCACUGGUGUUCGGGUUGUCAUGCCAAUGGCACUGCCCGGUAGCUAAAUGCGGAAGAGAUAAGUGCUGAAAGCAUCUAAGCACGAAACUUGCCCCGAGAUGAGUUCUCCCUGAGACUUUAAGUCUCCUGAAGGAACGUUAAAGACGAUGACGUUGAUAGGCCGGGUGUGUAAGCGCAGCGAUGCGUUGAGCUAACCGGUACUAAUGAACCGUGAGGCUUAACCUU